GACGAACGCUGGCGGCGUGCUUAACACAUGCAAGUCGAACGGUGAAGGAGAGCUUGCUCUCCGGAUCAGUGGCGAACGGGUGAGUAACACGUGGGCAACCUGCCCCAGACUUCGGGAUAACGCUUCGAAAGAGGUGCUAAUACCGGAUACGAACUCCUUGGGCAUCCUUGGAGUUGGAAAGUUUUUCGGUCUGGGAUGGGCCCGCGGCCUAUCAGCUUGUUGGUGAGGUAACGGCUCACCAAGGCGACGACGGGUAGCCGGCCUGAGAGGGCGACCGGCCACACUGGGACUGAGACACGGCCCAGACUCCUACGGGAGGCAGCAGUGGGGAAUAUUGCGCAAUGGGCGAAAGCCUGACACAGCAACGCCGCGUGAGGGAUGACGGCCUUCGGGUUGUAAACCUCUUUCAGCAGGGAAGAAGCGAAAGUGACGGUACCUGCAGAAGAAGCACCGGCUAACUACGUGCCAGCAGCCGCAGUAACAC
rnacentral:rRNA from 1 species